GAUUAUGGCUCAGGAUGAACGCUAGCUACAGGCUUAACACAUGCAAGUCUAUGGGCAGCAUGACCUAGCAAUAGGUUGAUGGCGACCGGCGCACGGGUGAGUAACACGUAUCCAACCUACCGGUUAUUCCGGGGAUAGCCUUUCGAAAGAAAGAUUAAUACCGGAUAGUAUAACGAGAAGGCAUCUUUUUGUUAUUAAAGAAUUUCGAUAACCGAUGGGGAUGCGUUCCAUUAGUUUGUUGGCGGGGUAACGGCCCACCAAG
rnacentral:rRNA from 1 species